UGACUGCUAAUACCGCAUAAGCGCACAGUGCUGCAUGGCACAGUGUGAAAAACUACCGGUGGUAUGAGAUGGACCCGCGUCUGAUUAGCUAGUUGGUGGGGUAACGGCCUACCAAGGCGACGAUCAGUAGCCGGCCUGAGAGGGUGAACGGCCACAUUGGGACUGAGACACGGCCCAAACUCCUACGGGAGGCAGCAUG
rnacentral:rRNA from 1 species